AGAACUCGAGUCUUCCGAGUACACCGCUCUUGGCUGCGGAUCCUCCGAGGUGAACGACGACCGAGGGGUUUCGACCGACUACUGAACGUCGAACCUCGUCCGUCCCGGCGACGCGGGUUUCAAUCUUCGACUGUACGACGUGCGGAACGGGGGACACCGCGCGCGCCUUCCGCGAGACUCGGCAACUCCGUUACACCGAUAGGACUAGGUGCGACGUUACUCUGGAUAUCCAUGCGUCUAUCACUGGCGGAGAACGCGACGCUUGCCACACCAAGUUUCCCAGGACUGCCCCGAGACCGGCGCAAAAUGUGCUCUGGUGCAUCACCUGCGGAGACAAGGGGUCGGAGUUACGACGUCGAUGGAAAAGAUCACUCGCAGUCGUCGAUUACCUGAUUCUUCAGCCUGAUUAUCUCUUCUCGCGCUCGACCCAGUCGAUUCUCUCGGUCCUCCCAUUGUUCGUACAGCCGAUCGUAUCGUCUUUCCGCCUCCUCGAGUUUCUCGACUCCUUCUAGGG
rnacentral:misc_RNA from 1 species